UUGCUACUACUCUCGACAGAACAGCUGAUUGGCUUUUUUUUUUAAUCAUUACUAGGGUUCCAAUCAGAUAUCUGCAACAACAAAAAUGGCUUUGGCUGGUCGUAUCAGAUCCGGGAUCUCCCUCUUCAAGACCAUCGCCGUCUCAGAUUCCGUCUCCUCUGCGAGAUCUUUUCCCAGUGGACGGCCGCUUAUCCCUGCGCUAAGAGAUUAUGCAACAGCUUCAGCUCAGAAAACUGGCAACGUUAAGGUGCCUGUGGCUUUAGUUGGUGAGUCUGGCAACUUUGCUUCGUGGCUGUACAUUGCAGCUGUGAAAAUGAAUUCCUUGGAAAAGAUUGAGUCUGAUCUUUCUGAGCUUGUUGAGGCUAUGAAGACAAGCCCUAUUUUCUCACAGUUUACAAAGGAUCCAUCUGUUCCUAGAGAGACAAGACUGGCUGCUAUUGUGGAUGUUUGUGACAAAGCAAAGUUUGCUGAACCUACCAAGAACUUCCUCUCUUUGUUAGCUGAGAACGGGAAGCUGAAGAACCUAGACGUGAUUGUGAAAAAGUUCAUGCAGCUGACAACAGCACAUAGGGGAGACGUCAAAGUCUUGGUUACCACUGUCAUGCCGCUUCCCCCUGCUGAGGAGAAGGAACUCAAGGACACACUUCAGGAGAUCAUUGGCGAAGGGAAGAAAGUAACUGUCGAACAGAAGAUUGAUCCGAGUAUCUACGGAGGGCUAAUAGUGGAGUUUCAACAAAAGGUGCUGGAUAUGUCUAUCAGGACAAGAGCACAGCAGAUGGAGAGGCUCCUCCGUGAACCUGUUGACCUCAGCAACCUCUGAGUUUCUCCCUAGAAACAUGUUUGUGAAGCUGCAACCCAGCUGACAAAAUAAACAUAUGACCCUCUCCACUUGGGAAACAAUAUAUUGUCGUUUUUGAAAUUUGCCAUUUGUUGUUUGCUUCGAAAUAAGCUGUUGGAGAUUAUUUACGUUUGAGAGAAUGUAUGCUCAAUUUGGUAAACAUGAUGAGACUUUUGUUUGGUAAUAUAUUUUACUGUUUUACCCUG